AUGCCUAGCCAGGACAUGCUAACAGCAAUCAGUCCCCCUCCUCGCCUCCUGCAAGAUGCAUUUCUACCUCUCCAGGACAGUGACCUUGUGCUUGUCCAGCUUGGUAGCAGGUCAGCACAUCCCUACUCCACCUUCAUGCCAUCAUCCCUGCUGUUGGUCAGAAAGGUCCAAGUCAGGAACAACCUGAGGGGGCAGAGGGGGUCCUGGGCCAGCCCUGCCCCAGACCCCAUCACUGGGGCCUGGGGAGCUCCCAGCCACAGCAGUGGCACCACUGACAUCUCCCCAGCAGCAACACUCACAGCUUCUGCCAGGUCCAUGCAAGGGAAACACGUCCAUGACCCUGCCCUGGCGCUCAGACAGGCUGCGCUGAGCCCCAGGUGCCUCCCACCCCCCCCCCCCCGCCCCCGGGCUGCCUUUGGGACCACUCGCCUCCCAAAUCCCCCCGCGCGGAGCCCCGCUGCCCGGGGCAGCCGCUCCAGCUGGGAACGCCAGACCGCAGCCGCCUCCUUCUCGCAUGGCCCUGUCCGGAUUGCCAGGGCGGAUCGGGGCCCUUUGCCCCCUGCCGGGGCAGAGGAGGGGGGGUCUGCUCCGAACGGGAAGGGACGUGGGGACUUUUUUUUUUUUAUUAUUGUUAUUAUUUAAUUCCCAAGGUCGUAGGAUUUACAGCCCGCGCUUACGUACUAUCAUCAGACACAGCCAAAUAAAAAUGAUAGAUUUCUGCGCUUGCUUUACA
rnacentral:lncRNA from 1 species